UGAACGCUAGCGGCAGGCCUAAUACAUGCGAGUCGAACGGCUCUUCGGAGCAGUGGCGGACGGGUGAGUAACGCGUGGGAAUGUGCCCUUAGGUACGGAACAACACAGGGAAACUUGUGCUAAUACCGUAUGUGCCCUUCGGGGGAAAGAUUUAUCGCCUUUGGAGCAGCCCGCGUUGGAUUAGGUAGUUGGUGAGGUAAAGGCUCACCAAGCCGACGAUCCAUAGCUGGUCUGAGAGGAUGACCAGCCACACUGGGACUGAGACACGGCCCAGACUCCUACGGGAGGCAGCAGUAGGGAAUCUUGCGCAAUGGGCGAAAGCCUGACGCAGCCAUGCCGCGUGUAUGAUGAAGGUCUUAGGAUUGUAAAAUACUUUCACCGGGGAAGAUAAUGACGGUACCCGGAGAAGAAGCCCCGGCUAACUUCGUGCCAGCAGCCGCAGUAACAC
rnacentral:rRNA from 1 species